rnacentral:misc_RNA from 1 species
GAUGAAGAACGUAGCGAAAUGCGAUACUUGGUGUGAAUUGCAGAAUCCCGUGAACCAUCGAGUCUUUGAACGCAAGUUGCGCCUCAAGCCAUUAGGUUGAGGGCACGUCUGCCUGGGCGUCACAUAUCGUUGCCUGAUGCCAGUUUCCUCGUGAUGGGUGACUGUGCAGGGCGAAUGAUGGCUUCCCGUGAGCAUUGUUGCCUCAUGGUUGGUUGAAAAUUGAGUCCUUGGUAGGGAGCGCCGUGAUAGAUGGUGGUUGAGUGACGAACGAGACCCAAUCAUGUGAGACCCCUACCGAAUUUGGCCUUCAUGACCCACAUGCGUCUUUCACGCUCAUGAUGAGACCUCAGGUCAGGCGGGGCUACCCGCUGAAUUUAAGCAUAUCAAUAAGCGGAGGA